GGGUCAGUAGGUUGGUCGUGCCACCGGUACGUACUGGUCUCACCGAUUCCUCCUUCCUGAAGAACCGUAAUGCCAUUAAGUUGGUGUUGCGGGGAAACAGGACUGUUACUUUGAAAAAAUUAGAGUGUUUAAAGCAAGCUAACGCUUGAAUACAUUAGCAUGGAAUAAUGAAAUAGGACGAUCGAUCCUAUUUUGUUGGUUUCUAGGAUUGACGUA
rnacentral:rRNA from 1 species